CCUACGGGCGGCUGCAGUGAGGAAUAUUGGUCAAUGGACGGAAGUCUGAACCAGCCAUGCCGCGUGCAGGAAGACGGCUCUAUGAGUUGUAAACUGCUUUUGUACAAGGGUAAACCUGAAUACGUGUAUUCAGCUGAAAGUACGGUACGAAUAAGGAUCGGCUAACUCCGUGCCAGCAGCCGCGGUAAUACGGAGGAUCCAAGCGUUAUCCGGAUUUAUGGGGUUUAAAGGGUGCGUAGGCGGAUUGAUAAGUUAGAGGUGCAAUGUCCGAGCUUAACUCGGGAACUGCCUCUAAUACUGUUGAGCUAGCGAGUAGAUGCGCUAGGCGGAAUGUAUGGUGUAGCGGUGAAAUGCUUAGAGAUCAUACAGAACACCGAUUGCGCAGGCAGCUUACCAAGCUAUAUCUGACGUUGGGGCACGAACGCGUGGGGAGCAAACAGGAUUAGAUACCCGAGUAGUC
rnacentral:rRNA from 1 species